AACUAUAACACUAAGAAUCAAUUUGUGUUUGUGUUUCUCAUCUCUUCAUUGCUUUAUUCAAUUGUCACACAGAAAAUAAUACGAGUUAUACAAUGGCGUAAGGCCAUCUCCAACGUAACGGUAAAACUGCAUUUUGAUGUGAUGCAGUAUACUUUUUCACUCCAAUCCAACUGUAAAUAUUACACUAA
rnacentral:sRNA from 1 species